rnacentral:rRNA from 1 species
CCCAAGCUUCCAAGAAAAGCCACUAAGCUUCAGUCAUAUUGAAACCGUACCGCAAACCGACACAGGUGGGCAGGAUGAGAAUUCUAAGGCGCUUGAGAGAACCCGGGAGAAGGAACUCGGCAAAUUAGCACCGUAACUUCGGGAGAAGGUGCGCCCCGGUAGGUUGUAGAGAUUUACUCUCGAAGGCCGAUGGGGUUGCAGUGAAAAGGUGGCUGCGACUGUUUAAUAAAAACACAGCACUCUGCAAACACGAAAGUGGACGUAUAGGGUGUGACGCCUGCCCGGUGCCGGAAGGUUAAUUGAUGGGGUGCAAGCUCUUGAUCGAAGCCCCGGUAAACGGCGGCCGUAACAAUAACGGUCCUAAGGUAGCGAAAUUCCUUGUCGGGUAAGUUCCGACCCGCACGAAUGGCGUAACGAUGGCCACACUGUCUCCUCUCGGGACUCAGCGAAGUUGAAAUGUUUGUGAAGAUGCAAUCUACCCGCGGCUAGACGGAAAGACCCCAUGAACCUUUACUGUAGCUUUACAUUGGACUUUGACAAGAUUUGUGUAGGAUAGGUGGGAGACGUUGAAGUGGGGACGCUAGUUCUCAUGGAGUCAACCUUGAAAUACCACCCUGAUGUUGUUGAGGUUCUAACCUAGGUCCAUUAUCUGGAUCGGGGACCGUGUAUGGUGGGCAGUUUGACUGGGGCGGUCUCCUCCCAAAGAGUAACGGAGGAGUGCGAAGGUAACCUAGGUACGGUCGGAAAUCGUACUGAUAGUGCAAUGGCAUAAGGUUGCUUGACUGCGGGACGGACAGGUCGAGCAGGUGCGAAAGCAGGUCAUAGUGAUCCGGUGGUUCUGUAUGGAAGGGCCAUCGCUCAACGGAUAAAAGGUACUCUGGGGAUAACAGGCUGAUUCCUCCCAAGAGUUCAUAUCGACGGGGGAGUUUGGCACCUCGAUGUCGGCUCAUCACAUCCUGGGGCUGUAGCCAGUCCCAAGGGUAUGGCUGUUCGCCAUUUAAAGUGGUACGUGAGCUGGGUUUAAAACUCGUGAGACAGUUUGGUCCCUAUCUGCCGUGGGCGUUGGAAGUUUGAGGGGGGCUGCUCCUAGUACGAGAGGACCGGAGUGGACGGAUCUCUGGUGGACCGGUUGUCAUGCCAAUGGCAUAGCCGGGUAGCUAAAUCCGGAAGAGAUAAACGCUGAAAGCAUCUAAGCGUGAAACUUGCCUCAAGAUGAGACUUCCCUGUGCUUUAAGCACACUAAAGAGUCGUUCGAGACCAGGACGUUGAUAGGUCGGAUGUGGAAGUGCAGUAAUGCAUUAAGCUGACCGAUACUAAUUGCUCGUGAGGCUUGAUCCU